CUGCCUGCAGCUUGUUUCGGCCCGGAGGAGGGAGGCUGCCUGCAGCUUGCUUCGGCCCGGAGGAGGAGGAGCUUGCGGGAACGGCGCGUCCUGCCGGCAAGUCCGGUACCGCUUCGGUGCAGCAACUUCUCAGGGCCACACGGAGCUGAUCUGCACCAGCUUGCCGCUAGGACCCCAUAUUAGGUCCCGGCGCUCCAUGGGGGAAUGGCAGAGCGUUUCGGCUUUCAGGGCGUGCAGCACCUCCCACGUAAACUUAUCCAUCUCCUCCAAGUCCGUUGCGAAAGAACACAAUGCUGGCGACAUUCUGUUGUGACAGGGGAGUCGCAGCUUGCUGCAAGGAUUGUUUUCCCAGGAUGCAAACGGACUGGACCAGACAUGGCUUGAAGAGACGAAGCCGACGAGCCGACAGCAGGCUAGGACAAACGGUGGUCCUGCCCAAGAUGGCGGCUAAGAGGCGGAGCGUGCAGUGGGGCCGAGAGGCGGGGCACGCCUGGAGUGACACUGCAGCCAUCAGAAUCAGGUGCGUAUUUCACACACCUGCUCUCAAUCCCUACAUCUUGUGCAGCAUAAAAGGGGAGAAGAAGGAACAAUCGGGGCAGAAGUAGAAGAGGAACCACCCGAGAAGGAAGACCACGAACGCGACGAGAGAGACCCAGAGCGAGAUGAGCCCCCGCGGACGACGCAGCCACCGGAAAGGUGCGCCGCGACAAGCAGGAAGGAAUGGCGCGCUAAAAAUUGGCGCGACCGACUGGCAAGAAACUAUGUUUAUUGAAACAAUAAACCCGGGUCAAACGUG